UGGAUUCAUCACACAGAUUCAAACCUUUGUUUUUAUUCAACAGGUUGGAAAUACUCUUUUUGUAGAAUUUACAAAGGGACAUUUCUGAGCCCAUUGUGGCCUGUAAUGAAAAACCAAAUAUCCCACAAUAUUAACUAGAAAGAAGCUAUCUGUGAAAAUACUUCUUGAUGUGUUGGUUCGUCUUACUGAAUGGAACCUGUGUUUUGAUUCAGCAGGUUAGAAAUACUCUUUUUAUAAUAUCUACGAAGGAACAUUUCAGAGCACACUGAGGCCUGUAGUGUAAAACCAAAUAUCCUGCAAUAAAAAGUACAAACAAGCUAUCUGUUGAAAUGCCUUGAAAUGUGUGGAUUCAUCUCAUCGAAUGGAACAUGCGUUUUUACUCAUCAGGCUGGAAACACUCUCUUUGUAAAAUCAACAAAGAAGCAUUUCUGAGACCAUUGAGGCCUAUUGUAAAAAAUUGAAUAUACCAUGAUGAAAACUACAAACAAGCUAUCUGUGGAAAGGCUUCGCAAUAUGUGGGUUCAUGUCUCAGAAUUAAACCUUUAUUUUGAUUCAACAAGUUAAAAACUAUUUUGUAGAAUCUACAAAGGGACGUUUCAGAGCCUAUUGAGGCCUAUAGUAAAAAAACAAAUAUCCCGUGAUAAAAUCUAGACGCAAGCUAUCUGUGAAAAUGCAUUGGGAUGUGUGGAUUCAUCUCACAGAGUUAAACCAUUGCUUUGAUUCAACAGGUUGGGAACACUGUUUUUGUAGAAUCUACGUAGGGACAUUUCUAAUCCAAUAGAAGCCUAUAGUGAAACACCAAAUAUCCCACCUAAAAAAACUGAAAACAAGCUAUCUGUGAAAAUGCUUUGCAAUGUUUGGAUUCAUCUCACAGAGUUAAACUUUGUUUUGAUUUAACUGCUUGGAAACACCCUUUUUGUAGAAUCUAUGAAGGGAUAUUUUUGACCCCAUGAAGGCCUAUUGUGAAAAACAAAAUUUUCAAUAAUAAAAACUAGAAACAAGCUAUCUGUGAAAAUGCUCUGUGAUUUGUGGAUCCAUCUCACAGAAUUAAACCUUUAUUUUUAUUCAACAGUUCG
rnacentral:lncRNA from 10 species